rnacentral:rRNA from 1 species
AUUGAACGCUGGCGGCAGGCCUAACACAUGCAAGUCGAGCGAGCGGCGGACGGGUGAGUAAUGUAUGGGGACUGCCCGUUCGUGGGGGGUAACUACUUGAAACGGUGGCUAAUACCGCAUACUGUCGGAUAACCCAUAUGGCAUGAGGUAGUAGGUAAGGUAAGGGCUUACCUAGGCGACGAUCCCAAGCAGGGCUGAGAGGAUGAUCAGGCACACUGGGAAUGAGACACGGGCGAGACUCCUACGGAGGCAGCAGUGGGGAAUAUUGGACAAUGGGCGCAAGCCUGAUGAAGCCGUGCCGCGGAUAUGAAGAAGGCCCUAGGGUUGUAAAGUAUUUUCAGUCGGGAGGCGUUACCUACAGAAGAAGCACCGGCUAACUACGUGCCAGCAGCCGCGGUAAUAC